GAGUUGUAUGAACGGAGAGAAGUUAUCACUUCCCUUGACAAAGACGGAGGAGCCCUCGGGGGUAACAACACACAUCCAGGUAAGGCACUGGCACCUACUUUGUGGCAUCUAACCAAGGUUUUUG
rnacentral:ncRNA from 1 species